rnacentral:rRNA from 1 species
UACAGAGGUGGCAAGCGUUGUUCGGAAUUACUGGGCGUAAAGGGCGCGUAGGCGGCCUACUAAGUCAGACGUGAAAUCCCCCGGCUUAACCUGGGAACUGCGUCUGAUACUGGAAGGCUUGAGGAUGGGAGAGGGAUGUAGAAUUCCAGGUGUAGCGGUGAAAUGCGUAGAUAUCUGGAGGAAUACCGGUGGCGAAGGCGGCAUCCUGGACCAUUACUGACGCUGAGGCGCGAAAGCGUGGGGAGCGAACAGG